rnacentral:rRNA from 1 species
GACGAACGCUGGCGGCGCGCCUAAUGCAUGCAAGUCGAGCGACGCAUGCUCGGUGGGUAACCACUGGGUAUGACGGAGCGGCGAACGGGUGAGUAACACGUGAGUAACCUGCCCCGAAGAUCGGGAUAGCCCGGGGAAACCCGGAUUAAUACCGAAUACCCUCUCUGGAUCGCAUGGUCCGGUGAGGAAAUGCCUUUGUGCUUCGGGAUGGACUCGCGGCCUAUCAGCUAGUUGGUGAGGUAACGGCUCACCAAGGCAACGACGGGUAGCUGGUUUGAGUGGACGAUCAGCCACACUGGGACUGAGACACGGCCCAGACUCCUACGGGAGGCAGCAGUGGGGAAUAUUGCGCAAUGGGCGAAAGCCUGACGCAGCGACGCCGCGUGGAGGAUGAAGGCCUUCGGGUUGUAAACCUCUUUCAGUGGGGAAGAAGCGCAAGUGACGGUACCCACACAAGAAGGCCCGGCCAACUACGUG